GAGGAAUAUUGGACAAUGGGCGCAAGCCUGAUCCAGCCAUGCCGCGUGCAGGAAGACGGCCCUAUGGGUUGUAAACUGCUUUUGUACGGGAAGAAACACCACUACGCGUAGUGGCUUGACGGUACCGUAAGAAUAAGGAUCGGCUAACUCCGUGCCAGCAGCCGCGGUAAUACGGAGGAUCCAAGCGUUAUCCGGAAUCAUUGGGUUUAAAGGGUCCGUAGGUGGACGAUUAAGUCAGGGGUGAAAUCUUGCAGCUCAACUGUAAAAUUGCCCUUGAUACUGGUUGUCUUGAAUCAUUGUGAAGUGGUUAGAAUAUGUAGUGUAGCGGUGAAAUGCAUAGAUAUUACAUAGAAUACCGAUUGCGAAGGCAGAUCACUAACGGUGCAUUGACACUGAUGGACGAAAGCGUGGGGAGCGAAC
rnacentral:rRNA from 1 species